rnacentral:rRNA from 1 species
AUUGAACGCUGGCGGCAGGCCUAACACAUGCAAGUCGAGCGGAUGAAGGGAGCUUGCUCCUGGAUUCAGCGGCGGACGGGUGAGUAAUGCCUAGGAAUCUGCCUGGUAGUGGGGGAUAACGUCCGGAAACGGGCGCUAAUACCGCAUACGUCCUGAGGGAGAAAGUGGGGGAUCUUCGGACCUCACGCUAUCAGAUGAGCCUAGGUCGGAUUAGCUAGUUGGUGGGGCAAAGGCCUACCAAGGCGACGAUCCGUAACUGGUCUGAGAGGAUGAUCAGUCACACUGGAACUGGGACACGGUCCAGACUCCUACGGGAGGCAGCAGUGGGGAAUAUUGGACAAUGGGCGAAAGCCUGAUCCAGCCAUGCCGCGUGUGUGAAGAAGGUCUUCGGAUUGUAAAGCACUUUAAGUUGGGAGGAAGGGCAGUAAGUUAAUACCUUGCUGUUUUGACGUUACCAACAGAAUAAGCACCGGCUAACUUCGUGC